rnacentral:rRNA from 1 species
GACGAACCGAGCGAACGUUGUUCGGAAUCACUGGGCUUAAAGGGCGCGUAGGCGGGCUCUCAAGUCCGGGGUGAAAUCCUCCAGCUCAACUGGAGAACUGCCUCGGAUACUGGGGGUCUCGAGUCCGGGAGAGGUGAGUGGAAUUCCUAGUGUAGAGGUGAAAUUCGUAGAUAUUAGGAAGAACACCCGUGGCGAAGGCGGCUCUCUGGGACGGUACUGACGCUGAGACGCGAAAGCGUGGGGAGCGAACAGG